CUAUCAAAACAAGUCCAGUCACAUGGCACAACUGAUUGCUCUCCCCAUCCAUCGGCCUUUCAGUUCCCGAUAUGCUUAUCAGUUAUACUUAUCAAUUGGGCAUGUCGACACUAGCAACCUAGUGGAGGUAGCUGGCGGCGACGAUCAAGGUUGAUCCUACAUCAAAGUUUCUAAGUAGACUAGCGAUGUAAUGAGUUGUUGCUGCACAAGAUAAAAGCAAAGUUGAAGCAAGAACUAAGACUAAUAUUU
rnacentral:lncRNA from 1 species